UACGUAGGGGGCAAGCGUUGUCCGGAUUUAUUGGGCGUAAAGAGCUCGUAGGUGGUUUGGUAAGUCGGAUGUGAAAUCUCCAGGCUCAACCUGGAGGGGUCAUUCGAUACUGCCAUGACUAGAGGUCGGUAGGGGAGUGUGGAAUUCCUGGUGGAGCGGUGAAAUGCGCAGAUAUCUGGAGGAAUACCGGUGGCGAAGGCGGCAUUCUGGACCGACAUUGACACUAAAGCGCGAAAGCCAGGGGAGCAAACGGG
rnacentral:rRNA from 1 species